GUACUGAUGAAGAGUCGACAACUAGAGCGAAACAGCUGUCCAGUAC
rfam:Trichobilharzia regenti genome assembly, scaffold: TRE_scaffold0010788